rnacentral:rRNA from 1 species
CCUACGGGAGGCAGCAGUGGGGGAUAUUGCACAAUGGGGGAAACCCUGAUGCAGCGACGCCGCGUGGGUGAAGAAGCGCCUCGGCGCGUAAAGCUCUGUCAGCAGGGAAGAAAAUGACGGUACCUGAAGAAGAAGCCCCGGCUAACUACGUUCCAGCAGCCGCGGUAAUACGUAGGGGGCAAGCGUUAUCCGGAUUUACUGGGUGUAAAGGGGGCGCAGACGGCGAGGCAAGCCAGGAGUGAAAGCCCGGGGCCCAACCUCGAGACUGCUAUUGGAACUGCGUGGCUAGAGUGCAGGAGGGGCAGGCGGAAUUCCUGGUGUAGCGGUGAAAUGCGUAGAUAUCAGGAGGAACACCGGUGGCGAAGGCGGCCUGCUGGACUGCAACUGACGUUGAGGCCCGAAAGCGUGGGGAGCAAACAGGAUUAGAUACCCGUGUAGUC